GGCCGGCGACCGGCGGGGCGGGCUGGGGGCGUGCGCCCGCCUUGAACUUGGGCCCGGCCGGGGCGGCUGUGCAGGGCCCGCCCCCACGGGGUGCCGGUGGCCCGCAGCACGGGAGGCUUGGGAGGGGGCUCUCUGGGGACAGUAGUUCAAGUUUUUGACAUGUCGCCCUGGCGAGGGGAGGAAGGCCUACCGCUGGCGAGGGCCGGAGGAGCCGCAGGGCUCGGGGGAUGUCUCCUGCCCCCUGUCCCCUCUGGCCCAGGAGGGAAGGGCUGGCUCAGGGUGCCUGGGAAAGGACAGGUUUGGGGGACUCUUCAGGGCUGGCUCCCCAGCCCUGUCAGCGCAGGGUCCCUAUGCCCUUGGGCGGCAGGAGGGUGAAAGGGCCCAGCUGAACCCUGUCCUCCCUCUCCUAGCCCCAGACGGUUCCAGCCUUGGAUUGACUGCCACCAAGGCCCCCAACCCUAACUGACCUUCCUGCCCAGCCAGGCUCCAGAUCCCGUGUCCUCUUGAAUGCCUAGCGGUGCCCUUAUUCCAUGUCACCUGCCCCCUCCCCAGCUCCAAUCAGCUGUUGGCUGGUGACAAGGGGUCUGUACAGGGGAGGCGGGCACAGGACCCCUGGCAUGAGGGGUGUCCUCUGGCAGCCCUGUCUGCUGGCCCAGGCUGGAGGCGCACCGACAGGUGCCCGGGCUUAGGGGCGCGCUGACGUGAGACACACCCUGCCGCUCGCCCACGCACCGCGCCUGGCCAGCCUGGGCACAUGUGUUCGCAGGCAGCCUUCAGGCGAAGGCCCUGGCCCUGGGGCGAGCUCUGUCCUGGCAUCCCGGGGGCCACCCACUGCCCUCUGUCCUCGUGUGAUGUCCUCUGGGAGCUCCCUCAAGACCCCAACCAGCAAGCCUCGUCUGUGGGCCUAGAAGGGCCCUAAGGGAGCUGUCGGCCUGGCCUGGGGAUGGCACGCGCACACAUGCGUGACAGGGCGUGUCCGGCCGGGCCUGUCCAUGCUGGCCCGGCUUCCCAGGCUUCCCCAGAUUCCUGCUUGUCGAAGAAGGACGGGAGGCGGGCGCUCCAGGGGUCCUCCUAGGACCCCAUGGCAUGACACCCCCUGCCUGAAGCAAGUGGGUGACAGAUGUGCCAGGCAGCCUCAGCUGCAGGGCAGGCCCCCACCCGUUACAUUCCACGGGGAACAGGCCAGCAGGCCCCUGGGCACAGUGGGGUGACCUGACUGCCGUGGGCCAGGUGGUGCUUGUACAUCAUGGGGCAUUUCUCUGAGUUUGCCCUUCACCUUGGGAGGCUGGGGGGGGGGCCAGGGGUUCCGUCUGGAGUGUGUAAUGCUGCGGGGAGCCCUGGGUGGUCUUCAGAUGACCCCCUUCAAGGGCUUCUUGGGUGCCCUGGAUGUGCCUUACGCCAGGUUGGGCUGCUCCCUUCAGACUUACUGUGUGACCCCAGAACCUACUCUGCCCGCUCUGUUUUGCGGCUGUAAGUGGGGAGUAUUCAGAGACCGAGUGGAAGGAACCCCUCUUGUCCUUGUCCGGGGCCUCGACUUCAGAUCCCUCAGGGGCACUCUGGCCACUUUCCCUCCUGCUUGCAGGUGUCCUAUGCGGACACAGAGGUGUGCCUCGUGUCCCUCCGGAUGGCUCUGCCUUCAGGGCCGGUCACCUGGGCAGGAUGGGAGUGCAAGGCCUGGGCGUGGGUGUGAGAGUGCUUGGGCCAGGACCCCGCCACACUGGGCACGACUGAGUCACACUGCAGCGGCGCCUUGCCCCCGGGGGCUGGAGCUGGCGCCACCCUGGGUGUGGUCACUGAGCUGUGGCCCUGGGCAGAGCAGGGCUGGGUGGUCCCGGGCUUGGGGCAUCAUGGCAAGGAGCCAGGAAGUGCCUUCCGCGAUACCCUGGCCUCCCCUAGCUUGGGCUCCCAUGGCCACCCCGACUGUGGGCGCCCUCACCCUGGGGAGCCUUGGGUUCCCAGGGGAGGAAGGAGCCGGUCAGAGCCAGCAACCUGGGCUGCGGAUGUGGCUCCGUGGAGGAGCCCCUGCCCCGGGCCUGGGCGCCACCUCCAGCACCAGAAGAAAGAAAAGGCACCAGUGACUGUCCUCGAGGCCAGUGGUCCCUGAAAUCCAGGCCAGGGCUUGGAAGCGGACCUGUCAGAAGGUGGGGGGCCUGCUGGUGGGCACCCCGGGGAGGGCUGGGUGGUCGUGAGUGCGCUCUGCUUGGCUCUGGAGGGCCGGGAGAGGAGCCCUGGGCGGCGGGGGCGGGGCGGCUUUCGUGUUCCCCUAUUUAUAACAAAUGAUUCAGUCCCCAUCACUCACCCUUCCUGAGCCUCCCCCCUCGGCCCUGGGUGGGCACGGGGGCCACCCACUGGCGCGCACCCUGGCUUCCCUGUCCUGGUGCCAGCCCCCGCGGGCUUCCCCACGUCACCCAGGAGGGCUGUUCUUGUGUGUGCUCUGGGAUGGGGACAGUGGGGGGCCGGUGGCCGGGCGGCACCCGGCGGGGCGGCCCAGGUUGGCGGCUGGCGCGGGGCCAGCCCGCGAGCUUCUGUUGAGAGUCUAGCCCAUUAGGCAAAGCGCUG
rnacentral:lncRNA from 1 species